rnacentral:rRNA from 1 species
AGAGUUUGAUCAUGGCUCAGAGCGAGCGCUGGCGGAAUGCUUAACACAUGCAAGUCGCACGGGGGCUUCGGCUCUAGUGGCGGACGGGUGAGUAACGCGUAGGAACGUGUCUUGGGGUGGGGGAUAACGCUGGGAAACUGGCGCUAAUACCGCAUGUCUGCUGUGGCAGAAAGCCUUCGGGUGCCUUGAGAGCGGCCUGCGUCCGAUUAGCUUGUUGGUGGGGUAAAGGCUUACCAAGGCUUCGAUCGGUAGCUGGUCUGAGAGGACGAUCAGCCACACUGGGACUGAGACACGGCCCAGACUCCUACGGGAGGCAGCAGUGGGGAAUAUUGGACAAUGGGCGCAAGCCUGAUCCAGCAAUUCCGCGUGGGUGAAGAAGGUCUUCGGAUUGUAAAGCCCUUUCGACAGGGACGAUGAUGACGGUACCUGUAGAAGAAGCCCCGGCUAACUUCGUGCCAGCAGCCGCGGUAAUACGAAGGGGGCUAGCGUUGCUCGGAAUUACUGGGCGUAAAGGGCGCGUAGGCGGCGCUGUUAGUCAGGCGUGAAAUUCCUGGGCUCAACCUGGGGACUGCGCUUGAUACGGCAGUGCUUGAGGAUGGAAGAGGCUCGCGGAAUUCCCAGUGUAGAGGUGAAAUUCGUAGAUAUUGGGAAGAACACCGGUGGCGAAGGCGGCGAGCUGGUCCAUUACUGACGCUGAGGCGCGACAGCGUGGGGAGCAAACAGGAUUAGAUACCCUAGUAGUCC